CUUAAACUAGAGCAGUAGUUAGUAUGACAAUGGAAUAGAAAUGAACAUUCACUCCAGUGGCUGCGGAUGGCACAGGGAUUAGAUAAUAGGACAAGGGAGAAGAAAAAUAAUGAAUCUGUCUGUUGACCCAUCAGCAUAAAUAUCUUGUCAGUCACACGUGACAGCAGCUCUAUCUGGAUGGCAGAAGCUGUGCUCGCCCAGGCUCCCGGUGAUGUUCCUUAAAUCCAAAGUUUCGUCAGGUCGUUUAGCAGGCUGAAGAUAGUUGGCACUUGACCACAUAGUGUGCCCAAGAUGGAUGAGCAAUAAGUGCUUACUUGGAGCGUCCAGGGACACAAAGCAAUGGUGCUGAGAGCAGUGGGUACCUGAUUCCUUUCUCCUGCUCAGGUGCCCGUGGUGGCCGUGUCUCCUGCAGCCCUGGGCUGACGUGAAGAAGUGCAGGGGCCAUUAUUAGGCUGAGCAGCUGUGCAAAAUCCUGUCUGGAAGUCUGCUGCUGAUGGAACCCCACCUCAUCCCAGGCCGAUGAAGUGGGGUAACCACUGAAGUGUCCCUAGGUGACUUAAAUCACCUGUGGAAGAGAACACGCCUAUGGGAAGAUCCGUCCCAGCCUGCAAAGACCCACUGCAUCCUGUCGUGAUGGAGGAGUUAAGCAGAAGGGUGAGGAGGGCUUACUGUCUUGUUUAAAAGCCUGGAGUGAAGAAUGAGGUCAUUGCAUGUGGUUCAUGUAAGCACAAACACAGACUCAGAGUGAGAAACCUUCUCAGGGCUUAGGAUGGGAUUUGUCUCACCUCACUUCAGCUAUGUGACAGGUGCUCUUAAUGAAGGUGUUAUGAUGAUGCUCACCUGAGGCCAGGCUGCCCUGCUGGAAGCUGUUGACCUAUCCAGAUGCUUGUGACGGGCUCCUCGUGCUCUGCCAUAGCUGAUCUGAGCUCUGCCAUCAUCCAGCUUUAAGAGGCCAUUUAUACAGCGAGGGAAUCAGCUGGUCGAUGAAGCAGACAAGAGGAGUGAGGGAGAGGGAGCGAGCUCUUUGAAUGGGAUGAGAACAGAGCCACCGGCACCUCAAGAAAGUUUAUCUGCCUCCAGUGCCAAGCGCACACAGCGCUAAUCUUUUGUUGCCAUGAAUAUUCAAGCCCAGCUGCCAGCAACAGAGGGAGCAGCUGCAGUGGCAGAGCUGGCGGGUCCCCUCGUGGUGCCCUCGCUUGCCGACCCUGGCAUCUGGGGCUGCCUGGGGGUGGGGAGGGGGAGAUGCUGCCUGCGUGGCAGGCCAGAGCCAUUCAGCAGCUUGGCCCCACGCUCCCCGAGCAGCACGAAGCCAGAGAGACAAAUCGCCCAGCGCUGUGCUCCUUCACUGACCUGAGUGUGCCAGGUGCUCCAGAUGUUUGAGGUCAUUUGAAGACCUGCAGGGAAAGGACAAGGAAGAACAACAGCCGGGCAAUUUAAGUUUGAAGAACCCUUGCUGCUGCUGGGAGAAGCCAAAGCGAGGGAAGAGCCCAUGGGCCCCAUGAAAAGCUAGAUACAUGCAGCUGGAUGCAGAUCGCAGUUCUCAUGGUGUAUUUGGUGAUAGGAUGUAUUUGGCAGCAAGUAUGCAGGCUGGGGACUUGCAAAAUCUGGCAGCAGGGGCUGCAGGCAGGCUGGCAGGUGACCAUGCUGCUGCAGUGUCAUGGAAGAGCUGGAGGGCUUCUGGCACUCGAGGAGUCAGGAUGCAGUGAACAGAGGCCACGAGCUCUCCUUGGAUGGUCAACAUGCUCUUCUCUACAGCCUAUAGCAGCUAGAGCACUAUAACACAGACAGCUCUGCCUCCCGUGACACACUGGAACAGGCUGCCCAAGGAGGCUGUGGAUGCCCCAUCCCUGGAGGCAUUCAAGGCCAGGCUGGAUGUGGCUCUGGGCAGCCUGGUCUAGCAGUUGGCAACCCUGCACAUAGCAGGGGGGUUGAAACUAGGUGAUCAUUGUGGUUCUUUUCAACCCAGGCCAUCCUAUGAUUCUAUGAUUCUAUUAUAUGAUUCUAUGACAGGCCAAAGCAGAUAUCCAUGCUUCCAUAGCAUCAUCCUGCCCAACACCAAAGUCGUCAGAGGCAGAAAUGGCCCUGUCCUAGUGCAGAUCACUGGGACCUACCUUGUUUAGCAGUUUUGCCCGGUCAUAUACGGAAAUACUUCAUUGAGGGAGGAGGAGGGGGAGAAAUGGGGAAAAAGAAAAAAAGACUGAGGAAGGGGAAGGCAGGCUGCAAGGAGCUCCCAAGGCUCUGAUGUCUUCCAACCAAACCCAGCGUGUUCACUGCCGCAGAGCUGCAGACAGGGAAGAUGCCAGCGGCUUGUCUCUUUCGUGCACUGAAGAAGGUGAUUCCCAGAGCCCUUGCUAUGAUCAGCUGUCAACUACUGACAUUUAAAAAUAUUUACUUUGUUCUUCUGACUCUCAAAGCCCCUUAAGGAAAGCAGGGUCUCAGAGCAGCAAUAAGUUAGUGUUGCAAUACCAUCAUUACACCACCUCCUACCCAGGAGUGAGAGGUCCCUGCUCUCUGGAUCUCUUUGAUACAGAUAAACAUGAAUGUAAUAGAACCUGCUCGAAUAACCUAAUUGCUGUCUAGGUGUAAUAUGUGUGAAUUUAUGGCAAACUUCUCAGAGCCCAGCCUCCUCACAGUCCACCCUCCAGGCAUGCAUCCCACUUGGUAGUUGAAUGGUCACAGAAUAUAGGUGCUUCCCAUGGAUUUACGGCAGUCUUUGUGAGUGAUAUUAAAAUGGAAAGAGUUUAUGGAUAAGAGGUUUACCCUCAGCAAAGCCAACACCUCCCACUGCUGCUGCUUUUUCACACCAAGAGAUCAAGAGUUUAAAAACUGAUUUCAGACUCCCAAGUUGUUACUGCCACAGUGGUAUAGCAGAAGGAAGGGUCGUGGUCACAAAAGGUAUCUUUGUUUUCUAGAAUUUAAAAUCACUUCUCAUAUGCCACCAUUGCUGUAUUUACUUCCCAAGUGGUCUUGAUGAGUUCUCAUCCAGGUGCUGUGAAAUGCUGGUCUGCGCCCUCAAACACAAUGACAAACUCAACAGGCGUGUGUGCACAGUGAUGCUCCCAUGCCACACGGACAUAGAAUAGUCCAAAUUAUAGAUUACAUAUAGGCCAAGAGUGACACAAGACUCCAGCAAAAUUGUUCAGGCCACAGCUAACAGGGCAAGAUGGGGCAUAUUGGCCGAGGGAAAGCAGAUAGGUGGGCAGACCUGUACCUGGGCUCUCCUGGCAAUGCAGCUGGGGGGGAGCACAGCCUGUUCCAGAUGUGGACAGCGUGACAGGGAAUUUCUGGGUUUGCACCCUGAAUUCAGCUUGCUGAAUUCUGCCAAACUCUGUGCCCAGACCCCCAACUCCUUAGACUAAACAAUUAAUGAACACCAUUAAGCAGCUCUGUUUGUAAUCUGGAAACAGUUUACAAACACAUUGUGGCGGAAGGGUGUCAUGCAGAAUUGUGGACUUAAUGUGUUUUGGCAUAUGCAUUAAAAUUUCCCUUCAUUCCUCUGGUUUGGCACAAGAUGAACUGCACAGAAUGGAAGUGUCUAGCUUUUUUGGUGUGUGUGGAAGCUCUCAGCACAUCCUUUGCUGGUGGCCAGCUCAAGCAGCAGCUGCUGUGGUAGGAACUAUGUCUGAGCCCUGUCCACCAGCUCGUGGUUGUCUCUUGCAAAAGGGAUCGCAGCCCACCAGCAGCCCAAGAGACAUCUGGGGAGAAGGAAGCAUCCUGUCCAAAGCAUCUGCCUGGUUGUGCCAGGUGUAGGAGCACCGCUGGCCUCCCCGCUGCCAGGCGCGUGGUGAUCUUCCCCACAGCUUCUGCAGCACUUCCAGUACCAUGGAACUUCCCCAGGUGUGCUGUAUCACCCAGAUCCUGUGAGUCACUCUGAUGCCGCUUUAACACCUUCAGUCCUUUGCACCAAAGUGUUCCAGAAAGCAGAGGGUCUUGCCAGUGAAUUUUAUCCAAGCGUGGCACAGAAAACACAAAAGCUGUAAUUAUGUUUUGUUUUGUUUUCAAACGAUGCUAUGUACUUCAUGUAGUAUUAUAGGAGAUGCAUCCUAACAUCUGCAAUUCUUUCUGCUGCACCCCCUCAUUUGCAGUCCUUCAGGAAAUCUCUGCAGGGCGCAGGAGCUCCUUGGAUCCUCAUCUGCAAGGGACACAUCUUCAGCUUAGGCAUGAGACAGGGGUGAGGGUGCAGCCCAAGACUGCAGAGGACUAUUUCAGGCAGUCAUACACCAGCCCCUGCCAACCUGCCUGGUGCUAUUUGCCUUGCAGGGGAGAUCAACCACCCUUAGAGUUCCUUUAAGCCCUGUGUUGCUCAGGUCUGAACUCCGCCUUCUCACAGCAAAUCCAUCUCUAAGAAAAACCUGGGGAUAUCUGCGGGACAGGGUCUUAAAACCAAACAUCCCCAAGCAGCAAUGAGCUUGUCUUGGAGGAGGGCUUUAGAUCAUAGCACAGCAACCUGCUUCUGGACCCACCCUGCUCCAGCAUGAUGCUAUGCCGUGCCAGUUUACUACUGAACACUGAUAGCUCCGCAGGUUUGGGCUGUUUCUACUGCAUUUAGAAGUUCAAAAUAAAACAAUAAUAAAAGAGAGGCGAGGAAACUAAACAUGUGAUCGUGCCUGAGCCCAAACAAUUAAAAAAACCAAAAAACCCAAAACCAAUCCCAAGCCUCUGUUUUGUUGCUGACUGAAUAAUCUAAUUUUGACCAGAUGCACAUUGCCUGUUUCUUCAGAGUGAACUGAAUUUUACAGAAAAAGCACCAUCAUUUCACAAUUUGCUGAUGCAGUACCUCGAGCUCAUGCCAGAGCACAGCUGGCUGACAGACAGAUUUUCUUGUUCAUGCAUCUUAUUGGUACAUUUUCUGUUACAUUUCUCUGCUGAGCCCUGCACAAGAGAACUUUCUACAGGGCAGCUGAGAAACUUUACAUGGAGACUGAAGAAGGCUUCUCUGCAUGCACAGAGCACAGAGCCUUCCUAGCGCUAUGCUACAUGCAUGCCUGGAUGCC
ensembl:lncRNA